CCCCAGUAGGCUAGUUAGCGAGGCAGGAUGACCCAUGGUUAGGGCACUAGGCUACGAUUCAAAAGAUCUGGGGUCAAUUCCCUGCUCUGCCCAAGACUUCUGGUGUGACCAUGCCCAAGUCACGGCGUGUCUCAGUUCCUCACGCUACCUGCCAGAAGAUUGUCAGAUGCUCCGAUAUUGUGGUACCCUGUGUAUACCCUACAGGCCCUGAUGAUAGCAAGCAGAGACCAGAGCAAGUGAAGCAAGAAGAAAAAGAAAAGAAGUAACAGCGAAGAAAUGCUACGAGCAAGAGGAAAUUGCAUGCCCCUGGAAUUGCCUCACUGAAUUAUAUACAAACCAUACAGCAUCAGCUACACCCAGCACCAACAGUGACAGCAACCACAGAGCCACAGCGAGUGCAUGCACAGGACAAAGCCGAGGAUUGUAACCAGCAACAAAUCCAGGCAGAAUGCCACAUCUGCUUUCCCAGUUUAAGAAAACCAAACCCGACUAUUAGUGUGAUACCGAUGGCAGCCUCCCAAAUGAGUGAAUUAAAAAAUCGUCACUGCAGGAAUGCCCGAGCAUCCAUCUAAUAACACAGGCCACCAAGGACAGCCACUCUGCUCAGCUCAUGUCUGUCACUGACUCCACACGCUUCACACGCAUACACGCAGAUCCAGGCUUGCUUGCUGAGUAACUGGAAACAGUUGGUGGGUUGGUUGAGUCAGUGAGAGGGAAAAGGUUGUCUCAUUUCCUUUAUCCCCCCCCCAUUUCACCCCACACCAGUUCUAGCCCCCUCCCACACCCCCAAAACAC